GACGAACGCUGGCGGCGUGCUUAACACACGCAAGUCGAACGGAAAGGCCCUGCUCUUGCGGGGUUCACGAGUGGCGAACGGGUGAGUAACACGUGAGUAACCUGCCCUUGACUGUGGGAUAACUUCAGGAAACUGGGGCUCAUACCGGAUAUGAGCUCCUGCUGCAUGGUGGGGGUUGGAAAGUGUCGGCGGUUGGGGCUGGACUCGCGGCUUAGCAGCUUGUUUGUGAGGUAGUGGCUUACCAAGGCUGUGACGGGUACGCGGCCUGAGAGGGUGACCGGCGACCUUGGGACUGAGAUACGCCCCAGACGCCUACGGGAGGCAGCAGUGGGGAACAUUGCAGAAUGGGGGGGAGCCUGAUGCAGCGAUGCUGCGUGCGGGAUGAUGGGCUUCGGGUUGUAAACCUCUUUCGCAUGAGCUGUACAGUGCGUGACGGUACUGAGUAAGGAAGCCCCGGCUAACUACGUG
rnacentral:rRNA from 1 species